rnacentral:tmRNA from 1 species
GGGGCUGAUUGGCAUCGACAGGAUUAAAAAGGAAAUUGUUGCAUACCGCAUUGCUGCGUUAAAAGCAAAAAUAAAAUUAAACGCAAACAAAAAUAAAUUAGCUCCUGCUUACGCUUACGCUGCGUAAGUUCAGUUGAGCCUGAUAUCUGCUUAAGCUUGUACGGCGGAAUAUCGGUCAUCUUUCAAGCUAGUUUUAAACCUUGGCUAAGUUUAAAGCGAAUUUUUGCCUUUGCUUUAUAAACUUUGUAAAAAGCGAGUUUAUAAAAGCGAGAUUAAAGCUUUUUACUAAGUAUGUAGAGACAGUUUUUGGACUAAUUUUGGACUGGAGUUCAAAUCUCCACAGCUCCACCA